rnacentral:rRNA from 1 species
AACGAACGCUGGCGGCAUGCCUAACACAUGCAAGUCGAACGAGACCUUCGGGUCUAGUGGCGCACGGGUGCGUCACGCGUGGGAACCUGCCCUUAGGUUCGGAAUAACUCCCCGACAGGGGUGCUAAUACCGGAUAAUGUCUUCGGACCAAAGAUUGAUCGCCUUUGGAUGGGCCCGCGUUGGAUUAGCUAGUUGGUAGGGUAAAAGCCUACCAAGGCGAGGAUCCAUAGCUGGUCUGAGAGGAUGAUCAGCCACACUGGGACGGAGCCACGGCCCAGAAUCCUACGGGAAGCAGCAGUGGGGAAUAUUGGACAAUGGGCGAAAGGCUGAUCCAGCAAGGGCGCGUGAGUGAUGAAGGUCUUAGGGUUGUAAAGCUCUUUUACCCGGGAUGAUAAUGACAGUACCGGGAGAAUAAGCACCGGCUAACUCCGUG